rnacentral:rRNA from 1 species
GACGAACGCUGGCGGCGUGCUUAACACAUGCAAGUCGAACGCUGAAGCCUGGAGCUUGCUCUGGGUGGAUGAGUGGCGAACGGGUGAGUAACACGUGAGUAACCUGCCCCUGACUCUGGGAUAAGCGCUGGAAACGGCGUCUAAUACUGGAUACGACCCAUAGAGGCAUCUCUUGUGGGUGGAAAGAAUUUUCGGUUGGGGAUGGACUCGCGGCCUAUCAGCUUGUUGGUGAGGUAAUGGCUCACCAAGGCGACGACGGGUAGCCGGCCUGAGAGGGUGACCGGCCACACUGGGACUGAGACACGGCCCAGACUCCUACGGGAGGCAGCAGUGGGGAAUAUUGCACAAUGGGCGCAAGCCUGAUGCAGCAACGCCGCGUGAGGGAUGACGGCCUUCGGGUUGUAAACCUCUUUUAGUAGGGAAGAAGCGUAAGUGACGGUACCUGCAGAAAAAGCACCGGCUAACUACGUGCCAGCAGCCGCGGUAAUACGUAGGGUGCAAGCGUUGUCCGGAAUUAUUGGGCGUAAAGAGCUCGUAGGCGGCUUGUCGCGUCUGCUGUGAAAUCCCGGGGCUCAACUCCGGGCCUGCAGUGGGUACGGGCAGGCUAGAGUGCGGUAGGGGGAGAUUGGAAUUCCUGGUGUAGCGGUGGAAUGCGCAGAUAUCAGGAGGAACACCGAUGGCGAAGGCAGAUCUCUGGGCCGCUACUGACGCUGAGGAGCGAAAGCAUGAGGAGCGAACAGGAUUAGAUACCCCUGGUAGUCCAUGCCGUAAACGUUGGGAACUAGAUGUAGGGCCUGUUCCACGGGUUCUGUGUCGUAGCUAACGCAUUAAGUUCCCCGCCUGGGGAGUACGGCCGCAAGGCUAAAACUCAAAGGAAUUGACGGGGGCCCGCACAAGCGGCGGAGCAUGCGGAUUAAUUCGAUGCAACGCGAAGAACCUUACCAAGGCUUGACAUAUUCGAGAACGCCCCAGAGAUGGGGAACUCUUUGGACACUCGUUUACAGGUGGUGCAUGGUUGUCGUCAGCUCGUGUCGUGAGAUGUUCGGUUAAGUCCGGCAACGAGCGCAACCCUCGUCCUAUGUUGCCAGCGGUUCGGCCGGGAACUCAUGGGAUACUGCCGUGGUCAACACGGAGGAAGGUGGGGAUGACGUCAAAUCAUCAUGCCCCUUAUGUCUUGGGCUUCACGCAUGCUACAAUGGCCGGUACAAUGGGUUGCGAUACCGUGAGGUGGAGCGAAUCCCAAAAAGCCGGCCUCAGUUCGGAUUGGGGUCUGCAACUCGACCCCAUGAAGUCGGAGUCGCUAGUAAUCGCAGAUCAGCAACGCUGCGGUGAAUACGUUCCCGGGCCUUGUACUCACCGCC